GGACAAUAGGGGUUACUGCUCAUGUAAGAAAGUAAUAACGAUCCUUUCUCACGAGUGAACCCCACUUUGGCAGGUUACCCUAAUAGCAGCAUUUGUUAUAGGCAAGUGUGACAUCUCCCCCCACUUGCAAGACAAAAGUCCACUUUGCUCUGCUUUCCUGUCAUAUUAUGAGGCAGCUAGACCCCAGCACCAUGCUGCUGUUUGGAUAGUACAGCCACCAGAAUUGUGAGCCAAACAAAUCUCUCUCUCUCUCUCUCUCUCAUAAAUAGUCAGCCUCACGUUUUUUGUUAUAAACCACAUGACAGAUUGAGACAAUGACCAACGUUGAGUUGGCACUUGUGUGCUAGGCCCUGUGAAAAGACCUUUCACUGGUGUUAUCUCUGUUGACUAUAAAGCACAAAACACCUUGAACCUGACAAUCCUCACUUCCCAAGGUACAUGAAUAAGUAAGUAACUUGCCAAGAUCUUAUCACCCAUGUAUAAAGAAGUCAGUAUAUGAACGGUUCUUUUUGAUUCUAAAACACCGAAGCACUAUACUUACUAGCAUGAUACAGUCUGUCUCUUGGAUUGGCUCCAUACUGUUUGUAGCCAGUUAACAACUGUUCAAUCUUCCCCUUUAGGUAAUUUGUCCAAAAUAAACAAGACAUUGCUACACUCAUCGAGCUGAAGUUUCACUGUGCUCUUUCACCCUUGGUGACUGACUGAACCACAGGAAAAUUCUCUUGCAGUCUUCCUUGGUGACUGUAUCUGGGUUCCCACACAGCAUCCUAUGCAGGCACUCACUGACCACUUUUCUUCUUAUCCUGAUGACAAAUGGUCAUUUAGAUGGCUUUGCAAUCUAGCCCCACUUCCCUUGGGGACUGUUGUAUAAACACAAGACCACGCCACAGAUCACAUCUUUCAUCCCCUCCCUUCCUCUCUAUUCCUGAAAUCGUUUGACUUUUGUGUAUGCUCUAACCUCAGCCAACCUGCCCUUCCUGUUUCCAUUUUCGUUGCUUACUUAUUCGUGUCUGUAACCUCAGGGUGGAUAUAGACUUGCCUGGCUCUGAAACGGUCUUGAAAGAUACAGUAUCAAAUGAUCCAACCCCAAGUGUUGAAAUAUCAAGACAUCAAAAUUCUACAAGUAAAAUUCCUGAAAAAUGAUUUAAUAAUUUUUAAAUAUAUCUAUUUGCAUUUUAAAUAGAGAGUUUGAGAAACAUGGCAGAGGGAUUCCACUGGUAAAGUACUUUCCAUAAAAGCAUGUGGUGGUAUGAGUAAGAAUGACCCACAUAGGCUUAUCUUUGAAUAUUUGUUCAUCAGAGAGAGGCGAUAUUUAAAAAAAAAUAGGAGGUGUGGCUUUGUUGCAGUAGGUGUGGCCUUGUUAGAGGAAGUGCGUCACAAGAGGAGGGGGAAGGGCUUUGAGGUUUCAAAAUCCCAAGCCAGGCCCCAUGCUGCUCUCUUCCUGUUGCCUGAGGAUUUGGUGCGGAACUCUCUGCUACCUCUACAGCACCGUGUCUCCUGCAUGCUGAUGCGUCAUGCCAUGAAGAUAAUGGACUAAACCUCUGAAACUGAAUGUGGCAUUUGGAUUGUGUCUGAGGACAGUGAUGGCCCCAGUGGUGCAUGAAUGAAGCCGGCCAGGCCUCAUAACUUCAAAUUUCUCCAGUCAUUGCCACAAGGUCAAGGUGGCACACUGCUGAUGACACCAAGGCCUUGAAAAGACUUGUGCCACCAGGCAACUUCCCUGUCCUGGAAUUGCAGAUACCUAGGAUGAGUCAAACUGAAGGGUUCUCAUGGACAAAAAGGGCCAGUUCUGGAUUAAACUGAGAACUAGAAGCACACUCCAGACAUCCUGUGAAACAUGCCAACUUCACUUAUAUACAGUAUUGGGAAAGCAACAAAAAUGUUUCUGCUAAGGAUCAUAAUCCAAAACAUCCCACCUAGGCUGCCCUUCAAAUGGAAAAUGGGUUAUUGUUUUUCACUCCUAGUGAAGUAGAAAGUCCAGUGAUUUUGUUUGUUUGUUUUUUGAGACAGGGCUUCUCUUUAGCUUUGGAUCCUGAACUGGAACUCCCUCUGUAGACCAGGCUGGCCUGGAAUUCACAGAGAUCCACCUGCUUCUGCCUCUGGAGUGCUGGUAUUAAAGGCACAAGUCUCUGCUGCUGGGCUGGCCAGUGGUCUUUUAAAGAGUAACUAUCACCUUUAUUUUUGGGGUGUUUCUCAUACUUCAUUUGUAGUUCAGACAUAUGCUUCUUUGCAGUUGCUCCAAAUAUGAUCGAACAAGCUUUGCAGUAAGAAAGCUGCCUAGGUUGUCACGUUCCCUUGGGUGCCACUGAAUAAAGGGAGGCUGUAUCUGAAUUUAGAAUUAGGUAGAGAAAGACAGAGACAGAGGUAUGCUACCAAAGCUUCCGGUAUUGGGACUGGUGCUGUAAUUGCCCCUAGGAUAUGACUCAUGGCAGCAGAAUUCUAAGAGAAAGCUAAGUCACUUAUGGGGACUUGCUGAAAAUGACAUUCAUUCCAUCUCUACAUAGGCGGCCACACCAGUUCCUUUAAAGUGAUAGUUGAAGGGCUCUUUGCUGUUCUGUUAAUGAUGAGGACUUUUCCAGGAUUGACCAAGCCAGUCAUUCCACAUGGCUGGAGACAAAGCUGAGAGUAGCUAGCCACCAACUUUUUUCUUCUUCUUUGUCCACUUCUUUCCCCCAAAGUGGUUAACAAACAGAGAGUAAAGGGUGGAUGCCUCCCCCUCCCCCUCCCCCUCCUCCUCCUCUGUCUUCAUCUUGACAGGGUCUGGCUAUGUACCUCUGUCUGUCUCCACACGCAUGUUUUCCCUGCCUCAGCAUUCCAAGUGCUGAGACUACAAGGUAGGUACCUGGCCCAGGAUUGUCUCCAUGAGGACACUAAGGAACAAACUGUAGUCAUAGGAUGGAGAACACCAGUGAGCCUGGUGGGGAGUUAUCUGGGGUACCAAGGAGAAUGUUACUGAUUUCUCCAGCUGACUCUGCCUCUGAGGAAAACUGGUUCCUGUUGUUCCCAAUGACCUUGUAGAUGCCUCCCUCAUAACCCCUUUGGAAGCUAUACUUGCAUGUCUGUGAUGUGUGUCGCAAUAAAUGGCUGAGAGGAGGAGACAUUACCCAAUUUCCAGUCUGACUCUGUCUCAAAGGUUGGAUCUAUUAUGACUUCCCAGGGCACAGAAUGGCGUUUCCUCAAAGAAGUUCAUUAUGGAUGGGGGCGGGGCAUUAUAUCUGCAAGAAGGACUUGUUUCUGAGAAGGGUCUCUGUCUUUUCUUAGGAAGAUGUUACAAAGAAAGCAGAACAAAACUUUAUUAUGUAAGUUGCAGUAGGAAUAACAAAGUAUAUUGAGGAGGGAACUGCUUUUAGUCCAUGUGUUUAGAAAAUGUACAACUCUUGUAGUAACAUUGCCUCUUAAAUACUAUGGACUUUCUGGCCUUAGUUUUGCAUAAAUUAACAGAGGAAGCACCCACUCCCUGUAAUCCCCUAUCUCCCUGAAAAAAAUCACCAAUUAGGGGCACCUGAUCUCUCUAAUAAUAUCAUCCUACUGUGUAGAUGACAGUCUGUGUAUUUUAGGUUGAAAAAUUCAAGGUACAUUGUUUCUGAAGGAAUAUGACUUACAAUAAGUGCCCUCAGGAGCAUUUGAACAAAAAUGUUUUGAAAUGGAAAAAAAGGAAAUAAUCAGUUAUGACUGGGGAUGGAAACUAUAUUGACAGUAACAAUAAUAAUAGUAGCUUUGUUUACUCCACUAUUCACUUGGGCUCCAAAUAUACAACAGCACCUCACUGAGAGAUGGAAAUGUCCUGGUUUAAAUGGGAGAGAAUUGUGGGAGAUGAAAGUUCUGUGGCAGCAUUACUAUGGAUAGAAUAACACCUCCUGUAAAGAACUUACUAGUGGUCAUUUGCAUAAUGAUUAUGUUUCUCAUAGUUCAAGAAAAAUUCUAACUGGAACCCUUACAUAGAAAUGCUACCCUAUUUUCUGAAUAAAUAGCAAUAAGCUGCAGUAAAGGGCAGCUAUGAGGAUUGACAUUGUCAGCAUGUUCCUAGUGUUGAUUAUGCUGUUGAAAUACAUUUCAUAAGCACUUUUGGAGGCAAAUUUAGGCUUUUUGAAAUACUGCACAUUUUCAGUGAUUUCUUGUGGGGAAAGUUCAAGAAAGCUUUAUUACACCCUGAUACAUUCAGCUGAGUUCAGCACAGAAAAUCUCUCCAGCUGGGAAUGCCAUGGUAGAGGAGAGAAACAAAGAAGAGGUUAAACAGAUCUUUGUUCUCAAAGGCCCUUCCAACCUGGAGAGAGAGGGGGAGAGAGCAGAGGGAGAGGGGAAGUUGAGUAGGGGAAUAGACUCUUUGUUUGUUUGGUUGGUUGGUUUUUGAAACAGGAUCUCACUAUGAAGCUCUGGCUGCCCUGGAACUCACAGAGAUCCACCUGCCUCUGUCUCCUGAGUGCUGGGAUUAAAGGCCACACACCUGGCUAGAAGAUUCUUAACCAAAAUGUUAGUGUUGUGAUGGAUUUACAGUGCUGGGUAGUCAAGGAGAGACUAGAACUUCCAAGUGUGAAGAUUAGGGGAGCUAAUUACACUGACAACAGCAAUAAUUUCAGGAGCAGCUGAGAUUUCUAAGAAUCUAUUAUAGUCUAGGUGCCUUUAAAAUUGUUAUUUUGUCUACUACUUGCUGUGGCCUGAAUGUUUGUUUUGUCUCAGAUUUACAGAUUGAAACCUUCCUUCCCAAUAUGUUGAUCUGAGGUGAAUUUUUGGAAGGUGGGGAAGUUGUGAGGAUGGAGCCCUCUAGAAUGUGAUUAGUGGGAACACGAGAGCUGGCCUGUCUCCAUGGUGUGAUGAUAAAACAAGAAGGCAGAUUUGGAGAACCAGACCUAAAGUCUCCAGGCACCUUGAAUUUGAACUUUCAAGCCUCCAGAAUCUAAGAACAAACUAUUAACCUAAGAUAUAACAUGGCUUAGAAAAGUUAACACAGGGAGGAAAAAGGUAUACCCAAGAUUUUGAGUUUGCAUCAGAACAGACAUAGUUAUAUGAAAACAACAUAGUGGUUGGUGAAAGCAACCUUGGCACUUCCAGAGAGAGUGCCUUCCCAGUACUGGCUAUUCAUCUGUGACAUUGGUGCAAUUUUUAUUGCUUUUAUAGAAUUUUCAUAUAAUAAAGUCAGAAAAAAGUC